ACGGGAAAACAGAAAAGAAAGGGAGAAAAAAAAUUGGUGAGAUAGAGAAGAAGAAAGAGCGAGAGAAAGAAGAAGAGAAUGAGAAAAGAAGAAGAAGAGAGAAAACAACCGAAAUAUUGACAACCAAGAAAAGAUAAAGGAAAAGUGCAUUUGCUGGAAGUCUAUGUAGAAAGAGUUGAGGGUACAAUCAUUUUCUCCCUUCCUUUGGAAAUAAGAGGUAAAAAGGCUUAGAUCACAUGUUGAAGAAAUGACGCGUAUCAGUUUACACUAUGGUCUGCUUAUAAUUUUAUGGGGAAUUAUUUUGAACAAUGGAUGUGUUAUGUACUCCAUAUUUUUAUGUUUUUCUUUGAAGGAUUAGUAUGUGUAUGAAUACAUUUUCAUGACUUUGUGUCGGGAUUGUAUUAAUCAUCUCUUUUGUCGAAUUAUGUUAAUGCUCAAGUUAUAUUCUAGACAAUUAACUUAUGGUAUUACAUUUUAGAUGAUG